CACGGAAAACACAAUUCACUUGCAUUAUGAUAGAAAAUAUUUGAUUUCGAUGAAGCGUAAUCGAUAACAACAGGCGUCAACGACCAGCAAUUUUAAGGCAAAAGGGUUAACAGGGUCUGGCUCAAGCAUCACGGUUCUGAUCGUAAAUAAGUACAUAAGGGGGGAAAGAUAAGGCAAACUAAAAAAAAAAUCUGAACAAUCGCACAAAUGUUACUUGCUCACCUCUCAUAGGAAAUGCAGUAUUCGGAUACCUUCCUUGAUAUACUUCAACACGUCGUGAAUUGGAAAACCCCUCGAGUCCUCUGCGCCAUUCACUUAUCUUUUGCGUAGAGCCAUCAUCAAAUGUACCCCACCCGUUUGCAAAAGCCGUCUUUUCUUCUUUCCAGACCUAUGAAUUUUCUUCAAGCCAUGUAAUCAGUUCCUAGUGAGUUGAGCCGACGGAUUCAGACACUCAGACGGGUGAGUCGUAGGAAUAGUGACGAAGGAUCAUCCCAACAUGGUUUUGUGAAUGGUCUGCCUGACUAACACGCUGUCAUACACAUCCUUUGGGGGACAAUCUGACAUCCUACUUGAUGGCAUCCACGUUUCACUUUCUCCUGUUUCAAUAUCCGAAGAAAAAACGGCAAAGGGAUGGCGGACUGUCAUUCUCUCCAGCUCAUGCCUAGCAUAAAUGUUUUAACCGGAAGGCGAAAGAGCAAAGGAAUCCAGAGUCCGCAUAGGAGGCUUCAUGGAAAAAGAGCUCUACUUGUCUUGUUCAUCCUUAUCCAGGGCAACGAAAA
rnacentral:lncRNA from 1 species